AAGGAGUUUAUCGUGUGCGCAAGUUUUUGGGUGUUAAAAACCUAAAAGCGAAAUGAAAGUAAAUGACUCUUUAGAGUCUGAUGUGCGAUCUUGUAAAAAAGUGCAGCAUGGCCCCAUUCUAACUGUUUACAGUAGGGUGGCGGAAGAGCGUACGCGGUGAGACCCGAAAGAUGGUGAACUAUUCCUGAGCAGGACGAAGCCAGAGGAAACUCUGGUGGAAGUCCGAAGCGGUUCUGACGUGCAAAUCGAUCGUCU
rnacentral:rRNA from 1 species